rnacentral:rRNA from 1 species
ACAUGCAAGUCGAACGAUGAAGCCCAGCUUGCUGGGUGGAUUAGUGGCGAACGGGUGAGUAACACGUGAGUAACCUGCCCUUAACUCUGGGAUAAGCCUGGGAAACUGGGUCUAAUACCGGAUAGGAGCGCCUACCGCAUGGUGGGUGUUGGAAAGAUUUAUCGGUUUUGGAUGGACUCGCGGCCUAUCAGCUUGUUGGUGAGGUAAUGGCUCACCAAGGCGACGACGGGUAGCCGGCCUGAGAGGGUGACCGGCCACACUGGGACUGAGACACGGCCCAGACUCCUACGGGAGGCAGCAGUGGGGAAUAUUGCACAAUGGGCGCAAGCCUGAUGCAGCGACGCCGCGUGAGGGAUGACGGCCUUCGGGUUGUAAACCUCUUUCAGUAGGGAAGAAGCGAAAGUGACGGUACCUGCAGAAGAAGCACCGGCUAACUACGUGCCAGCAGCCGCGGUAAUACGUAGGGUGCGAGCGUUAUCCGGAAUUAUUGGGCGUAAAGAGCUCGUAGGCGGUUUGUCGCGUCUGUCGUGAAAGUCCGGGGCUUAACCCCGGAUCUGCGGUGGGUACGGGCAGACUAGAGUGCAGUAGGGGAGACUGGAAUUCCUGGUGUAGCGGUGGAAUGCGCAGAUAUCAGGAGGAACACCGAUGGCGAAGGCAGGUCUCUGGGCUGUAACUGACGCUGAGGAGCGAAAGCAUGGGGAGCGAACAGGAUUAGAUACCCUGGUAGUCCAUGCCGUAAACGUUGGGCACUAGGUG